CCUGUACUGGCAUUGGCUUUUCCAAGUGUCAAGAUUACAGGAAAAGAAGUUUUAUUAUUGAUGCAAGCCCUAAACACUCUUUCGACUCCAGAGGAGAAGCUGGCAGCUCUCUGUAAGAAAUAUGCUGAUCUUGAGGAACAUAUGCAGCAGAAAAAAGAGGAGGAAGAAGUUCUUAAAGAAGUAACUGCACAUUUCCAAAUUACUUUAACUGAAACUCAAGCCCAGCUGGAACAGCAUGAAAUACACAAUGCCAAACUGCAGCAGGAGAACAUGGAAAUGGGAGAAAAGCUAAAGAAGCUCACUGACCAGUAUGCACUGAGGGAAGAGGUAAACGGC
ensembl:lncRNA TXLNGY taxilin gamma Y-linked (pseudogene)